rnacentral:rRNA from 1 species
AGGACGAACGCUGGCGGCGUGCUUAACACAUGCAAGUCGAGCGGAAAGGCCCUUCGGGGUACUCGAGCGGCGAACGGGUGAGUAACACGUGAGCAAUCUGCCCUUAGCUUCGGGAUAGCUCCGGGAAACCGGAUUAAUACCGAAUAUGACUACGGUUGACAUCAGCCAUGGUGGAAAGUUUUUCGGCUAGGGAUGAGCUCGCGGCCUAUCAGCUAGUUGGUGGGGUAACGCCUACCAAGGCGACGACGGGUA